rnacentral:rRNA from 1 species
AGUGAACGCUGGCGGUAGGCCUAACACAUGCAAGUCGAACGGCAGCACAGUAAGAGCUUGCUCUUACGGGUGGCGAGUGGCGGACGGGUGAGGAAUACAUCGGAAUCUACUUUUUCGUGGGGGAUAACGUAGGGAAACUUACGCUAAUACCGCAUACGACCUACGGGUGAAAGCAGGGGAUCUUCGGACCUUGCGCGAUUGAAUGAGCCGAUGACGGAUUAGCUAGUUGGCGGGGUAAAGGCCCACCAAGGCGACGAUCCGUAGCUGGUCUGAGAGGAUGAUAAGCCACACUGGAACUGAGACGCGGUCCAGAGUCCUAAGGGAGGCAGCAGUGGGGAAUAUUGGACAAUAGGCGCAAGCCUGAUCCAGCCAUACCGCGUGGGUGAAGAAGGCCUUCGGGUUGUAAAGCCCUUUUGUUGGGAAAAAAAAGCAGCAGGUUGAUACCCCGCUGUUCUGACGGUACCCAAAGAAUAAGCACCGGCUAACUUCGUG